UACGGAGGGUGCAAGCGUUAUCCGGAUUCACCGGGUUUAAAGGGUGCGUAGGUGGGCAGGUAAGUCAGUGGUGAAAUCUCCGGGCUUAACUCGGAAACUGCCAUUGAUACUAUCUGUCUUGAAUACCGUGGAGGUCAGCGGAAUAUGUCAUGUAGCGGUGAAAUGCUUAGAUAUGACAUAGAACACCAAUUGCGAAGGCAGCUGGCUACACGAAUAUUGACACUGAUGCACGAAAGCGUGGGGAUCAAACAGG
rnacentral:rRNA from 1 species